GUGUUUGCUUGUUUGCUUUGUUCUACUAUAUUAUGUUUUUUUCCUUUUUUACCGUGUGACCGUAGAUUUGGUCGCAUACAAUCGAACAGAUGAUGGCGAAGGAUUGGAAUCAACGGAGUAGGGGAAAGUGCCCGAAUUCAGAUUAAAUUUUUCUGUUUUCUAACUAUUUUAGUGCA
rnacentral:ribozyme from 17 species